rnacentral:rRNA from 1 species
AAGACCACAGGGAUUGCCCUAGUAACGGCGAGUGAAGCGGCAACAGCUCAAAUUUGAAAUCUGGCUUCGGCCCGAGUUGUAAUUUGUAGAGGAAACUUUUGGUGAGGCACCUUCUGAGUCCCUUGGAACAGGGCGCCAUAGAGGGUGAGAGCCCCGUAUAGUCGGAUGCCGAUCCAAUGUAAAGUUCCUUCGACGAGUCGAGUAGUUUGGGAAUGCUGCUCAAAAUGGGAGGUAAAUUUCUUCUAAAGCUAAAUAUAGGCCAGAGACCGAUAGCGCACAAGUAGAGUGAUCGAAAGAUGAAAAGCACUUUGAAAAGAGGGUUAAAUAGCACGUGAAAUUGUUGAAAGGGAAGCGUUUGUGACCAGACUUGCGCCGUUCCGAUCAUCCGGUGUUCUCACCGGUGCACUCGGGGCGGCUCAGGCCAGCAUCGGUUUUGGUGGGGGGAUAAAGGUCCAGGGAACGUAGCUCCUCCGGGAGUGUUAUAGCCCUGGGCGUAAUGCCCUCGCUGGGACCGAGGUUCGCGCAUCUGCAAGGAUGCUGGCGUAAUGGUCAUCAACGACCCGUCUUGAAACACGGACCAAGGAGUCAAGGUUUUGCGCGAGUGUUUGGGUGUAAAACCCGCACGCGUAAUGAAAGUGAACGUAGGUGAGAGCUUCGGCGCAUCAUCGACCGAUCCUGAUGUAUUCGGAUGGAUUUGAGUAAGAGCGUUAAGCCUUGGACCCGAAAGAUGGUGAACUAUGCUUGGAUAGGGUGAAGCCAGAGGAAACUCUGGUGGAGGCUCGCAGCGGUUCUGACGUGCAAAUCGAUCGUCAAAUCUGAGCAUGGGGGCGAAAGACUAAUCG